AUUGAACGCUGGCGGCAGGCCUAACACAUGCAAGUCGAGCGGAUGAAGGGAGCUUGCUCCUGGAUUCAGCGGCGGACGGGUGAGUAAUGCCUAGGAAUCUGCCUGGUAGUGGGGGAUAACGUCCGGAAACGGGCGCUAAUACCGCAUACGUCCUGAGGGAGAAAGUGGGGGAUCUUCGGACCUCACGCUAUCAGAUGAGCCUAGGUCGGAUUAGCUAGUUGGUGGGGUAAAGGCCUUCCAAGGCGACGAUCCGUAACUGGUCUGAGAGGAUGAUCAGUCACACGGGAACUGGAACAGGGUCAAGGCGACUACGGGAGGGAGCAGAGGGGAAUAUUGGACAAUGGGGGAAAGCCUGGUCCAGCCGUGCCGCGUGUGUGAAGAAGGUCUUCGGAUUGGAAAGCACUUUAAGUUGGGAGGAAGGGCAGUAAGUUAAUACCUUGCUGUUUUGACGUUACCAACAGAAUAAGCACCGGCUAACUUCGUG
rnacentral:rRNA from 1 species